rnacentral:lncRNA from 1 species
GACCACCCACUCUCUCUCUCCCCUCUCUCUCUCUCUCUCUCUAGAUUCUACUAUAAUAUGUGGUGGCCACCGGUACUGUUUCAUAUGCCCCUUAGACACCUGUUUUUCCCCAAAGUACAUCAAGUACUCAAUGCCCUUUAAUCAUACCCACUCAGAGAGUUUGUUGUGCCUUUUUAUUCAACCCUAGAUGAUGUUUACCUUUCCUUAAAUGGGUAUUUUGCUUUGUGUGUUUACAGAUCUGACUUUGUAAUCUUUUUGUUUUUAUUUCAUGUCUUGCUUACCCUAUAUGGAGAUCAGAUAUAGAUAGA